GAAACGGUGGCUAAUACCGGGURUGCCGAAAGGUGAAAGGUUAACUGCCUGGAGAUGAGCUCGCGUCUGAUUAGCUAGUUGGUAGGGUAAAAGCUUACCAAGGCGACGAUCAGUAGCUGGUCUGAGAGGACGAUCAGCCACACUGGGACUGAGACACGGCCCAGACUCCUACGGGAGGCAGCAGUGGGGAAUUUUCCGCAAUGGGCGAAAGCCUGACGGAGCAAUACCGCGUGAGGGAGGAAGGCUCUUGGGUUGUAAACCUCUUUUCUCAGGGAAGAAUAAUGACGGUACUUGAGGAAUAAGCAUCGGCUAACUCCGUGCCAGCAGCCGCGGUAAUACGGAGGAUGCAAGCGUUAUCCGGAAUGAUUGGGCGUAAAGCGUUCGCAGGUGGCAUUGAAAGUCUGCUGUYAAAGAGUCUGGCUCAACCAGAUACAGGCAGUGGAAACUUCAAAGCUAGAGUGCGGUAGGGGCAGAGGGAAUUCCUGGUGUAGCGGUGAAAUGCGUAGAGUUCAGGAAGAACACCGGUGGCGAAAGCGCUCUGCUAGACCGCAACUGACACUGAGGGACGAAAGC
rnacentral:rRNA from 1 species